CCGGGCAGGAUGCUCUAUGCUGGACAGGAAGCGACUAAACCAAUGACAUUCUCAAGGAGCUUCAAUACUUCCAAGAGUCAGAAAUCAAGAGAGUGAUAUGGAAGCCAAAGGCACACAGAGAAAACUCAACAUGCGGAGGUCAUAAAACAGCAGAAACCACAAGUCACAGAGAAGAGUGGAAACAGAAGACACUCAGUAGCAGGAAAGCUACAAUCCCUAGAGAGACUGAGGAAGGAUAUGCUUAUUCAGGGCUAUGACUGAGUCUCGGGGGACAAGAAUAAAAGUGGAUUUAAACUUGAUUACCUUUGUGAAGAUCCUAUAGCCAAAUAAGGCCACACUGCAAAGUAGUGGGGUUUAGGACUUCAACAUAUGGAUUUUGAGGUGGCAAAAUUCAACCCAUAAUAGUGUCCAACAGUCAGUGUGACUGGUAUCCUUAUAAAAAGGGGAAAUUUGGAGACAGUGUGCUCACAGGAAGAACGCCCUGUUAAGAUGAAGGCAAAGAUUGGGGUGAUGCAUCUAUAAGCCAAGGAACCCCCCAAAUUGCCAGCAAACUACCAGAAGCUAGCGGAGGGCCACAGAGCAAAUUCUCUCUUUCACAAUCCUCAGAAGGAAGCAACCCCAUUGACACUUUGAUCUCAGACUUCUAGCCUGCAGAACUGAGAGACAAUAAAUGUCUGUUACAUCCCCAGUUUAUGAUACAUGGUUAAAACAGCCCUAGCAAACUAACCCAGGCACGGAGCGCUACCGUUGAGUGAGAAACAUCUGCUCUGUUCCUUGAGGCUGACUAUUUGGCUACUGAAAGGCUUUCUGUCUUCUAUCCUCCCGCUCAUGUAUCCCCACAAUAACUCCCAUAACCUCAGACAACCCGAGCCUGUCUGCUCCCUGGAAGCUGAAAGAACUUCAGUAACUCAGUUGGAGUGCAGGCAGCAGUGUUUGGGAAGGAGUAAAUGAAGCAGUUGGAAGCAAAGAAGCUGCUGCUUUGGGAUCCGCAAAUCAGAGGAUCAGGAAAUGUGAAACAACUUUCCUGACAGCUUCAGGGAGUGACAUCCAGGCAGGAACUCGGCGGCUUGGCAGAGCUGGAGGAGGAUAGCAGCGCUCUUUUUCCAACCUGGAAACAGCCCAUUCAGUCAAUAACUCACCUCCAGUGCCUUUUCCUAAAGCAUUUACAGUCAGGAGAACAAAUUCAGAUACCCCAGAAAAUCAAGAAGUCAUGACAAUUAAAGAGUCCUGUACCAGCACAUCCUGUCUUCACUGCCUGCAAAGCUCACCACUCUCUUCUCCAUCCACAAACUCCCAUACUCCUUUGAAGCAGCAGCUGAGCCGCCACAACCUCGAGCCUCUCUCCUGAUCACAGCAUCACAUAGACAAGGCUUCAGUGGAACCAUGACAAUUAGAAUAUUUAUUGAUU
rnacentral:lncRNA from 1 species